ACUCCUACGGGAGGCAGCAGUGGGGAAUUUUGGACAAUGGGCGAAAGCCUGAUCCAGCAAUGCCGCGUGAGUGAAGAAGGCCUUCGGGUUGUAAAGCUCUUUUGUCAGGGAAGAAACGGUGAAAGCUAAUAUCUUUUGCUAAUGACGGUACCUGAAGAAUAAGCACCGGCUAACUACGUGCCAGCAGCCGCGGUAAUACGUAGGGUGCAAGCGUUAAUCGGAAUUACUGGGCGUAAAGCGUGCGCAGGCGGUUUUGUAAGUCUGAUGUGAAAUCCCCGGGCUCAACCUGGGAAUUGCAUUGGAGACUGCAAGGCUAGAAUCUGGCAGAGGGGGGUAGAAUUCCACGUGUAGCAGUGAAAUGCGUAGAUAUGUGGAGGAACACCGAUGGCGAAGGCAGCCCCCUGGGUCAAGAUUGACGCUCAUGCACGAAAGCGUGGGGAGCAAACAGGAUUAGAAACCCGAGUAGUCCCAUGAU
rnacentral:rRNA from 1 species